UUGCAAUUUGCUUUUACAUUAAUUUUCUUACCGUUCGACCUACGGGUGCCUUUGGGCUGUGCUUACCUGAACCUCCAGCAGAAAUCAUUGCUGCACUGAGAAGUCUCAGGGCAUGGGGAAAGGGAGGAGGCCGACGCUUCAAUCAACAAUAGUAUCGCAUUCCAUCUCAAAACUCAAUCCAGCAUGGUGGCCAUAGGAAUCGUAGCUCUCUACUGUUGAAGAACAGAGUCCAGUCAAACAAAACAACUCAAGUCAGCACAACUGCACACGAGAUAAGGCUCUAUGGAUAACUACUGAUAAAGAUGUUGAGCAGGAUAAUUAUCCUCUAAGAUAGCAUAUAUUUGAAUUUUAAUCUGUUGAGAUUUAGAUAGAUUCAAAUGUAAUUAGAUUAGUUUACAUUAUUUUGAAGCACUUUGUACAAACCCUAUAUCAUCAAUUGAUAUGUUCAGGGUUUGUAA